CCUACGGGGGGCAGCAGUGGGGAAUAUUGGGCAAUGGGCGCAAGCCUGACCCAGCAACGCCGCGUGAAGGAAGAAGGCUUUCGGGUUGUAAACUUCUUUUAAGGGGGAAGAGCAGAAGACGGUACCCCUUGAAUAAGCCACGGCGAACUACGUGCCAGCAGCCGCGGUAAUACGUAGGUGGCAAGCGUUGUCCGGAUUGACUGGGUGUAAAGGGCGUGCAGCCGGAGAGACAAGUCAGAUGUGAAAUCCACGGGCUCAACCCGUGAACUGCAUUUGAAACUGUUUGCCUUGAGUGUCGGAGAGGUAAUCGGAAUUCGUUGUGUAGCGGUGAAAUGCGUAGAUAUAAGGAAGAACACCAGUGGCGAAGGCGGAUUACUGGACGAUAACUGACGGUGAGGCGCGAAAGCGUGGGGAGCAAACAGGAUUAGAUACCCGUGUAGUC
rnacentral:rRNA from 1 species